rnacentral:rRNA from 1 species
AACGACACGGUGGACGAGAUGAGAAUUCAGAGGCCGCGGUAGAACUCUCGUUAAGGAACUCGGCAAAAUGACCCCGUAACUUCGGGAGAAGGGGUUCCCCGGUAGUGUGAAUAGCUCGAGGGGGCCGCAGUGAAGAGGCCCAAGCGACUGUUUAGCAAAAACACAGGUCUGUGCGAACCCGUAAGUCGAAGUAUACGGUGUGACGCCUGCCCGGUGCUGGAAGGUUAAGUGGAGUGGUUAGGGGCAAGCCGAAGCUAUGGAUUGAAGCCCCAGUAAACGGCGGCCGUAACUAUAACGGUCCUAAG